GGAGGAGGAGACAGGCAAGGCCCUUUUAAAAGGGAACAUAGUGAAUGUGCACAGGUGCUCUUAGUGGCUGCAGCUGAGGAUGGAUCCUGUCAGAACACUAAAGGCAGACCAGUACAGAUUCCUGAAUACUAACAGUUCUUUUAAAGAUUUAUUAUUUUUAUUUUAUGUGCUUUUCCUGCAUGAAUGUCUGUGUAUCAUAUGUGUUCACUGCUUGCAGAGGUCAGAAGAAGGUAUCAGAUCCCCUGGAACUAGAGUUACAGAUGGUUGUUGUCAUGUGGGUGCUGGGAUUCCAAUGCGGAUGGGUUCUGGAAGAACAGUCAAUGUUUCUAACCACCAAACUAUCUCUCCAGCCCCUCCAUCCAGUUCCUAGAAUGUGAGUGUAGAGGAGUAAGCCUGGCCUCUCUGCUCUGGUGCAGAUGUAACUAUCAAUGUGCUCCAGCUGUUGCUAUCUGCCCAUCACCGUGAGAUAAGUCAGGACUUUCAGCCACCAAAAACUUCGAGCUCAAUUCUUGCUUCAAAAGUAUCCUGCGCAAGUCACUUCAGUAUACUAAUACACCCCCAAACAAUUAUAUACAGAGCAAAAUAUGAUGAAAAAAAUCAAACAUGCAUUUACCAAUCAGAAUUGUUUCUGAAUGUUUUCCCUGCAGAUAUUAUGAAUGAUUUAGAUUACAGAUAUGUGUCUUUGGUUUCCACUCCUCAGUGGUAGCAGGCAAUGAUGAAUUAAGGACAAGGUCUAGAACUUCUACAUAUUAGCACAGAAUGAUUUAAUUAAGCAAUAAAUCAAAAAUUAAGUUUCCAUUGUUUCUAAGUUGACUAAAGCUUAAAAAUAGUGAAAUAUAGUGAAAUUACUUAUAAGUUCCAUAAAGUCAAGAUCACAUCUAUUUGGAUAAUUGCAAUCACCCAAAAACUUCAAUUAUAAAUUUAUUUCAAUUUCUCUCCAGGUACAGCUAAUAAAAUAACCCAGUUACUCUAUUAGUUCUAAAUUUUUAUAAGCCGGUAUGUAAUCAUUUAUACAGUGCUAGAGCUCUGAGCUCCAACAUGUAAGUCACCUGUGAGUAAACAACUGUCGCUAUAAUUAAAAAUCACACUCCCCUCAGUUCCAGAACUGAGUCGUUUUUUUUUUUUUUUUUUUUUACAUAAGUAAGUAUUGCAUUGUGUAUACACAUUACACAAACAAAAAUGUAAGGUUUCCAACAGCUACCUUUACAUCAGAUUAUGAUUCUUUAAACACAACAGGUGGAAAGUUCUCACUCAAUGCUCAUAGGACUCCUUGCAUUUACUGCCAAGCCAUACAAAGAAAGCCAACACAAAGAAAUUCCAAAAUGAGGGAAUUCUAAAGCUUACAGCAUGAAAACAGUGUCUUAUUAGACAGAGCUCACAAACUGUUUGAGAAGCCCUUAGUGACUGCAAUUGCAAGACAAAACAAACAAACCAAAAACAAAAACAAAAACAAAAACAAAAACAAACCCAAAAACCAAAAAACCUUUACUAUCAGUGACAUGUUUAAAAUCUACCAUUAAGCACAAAACAAGUUCAAAUAAUCUGUUUUACAUCCACUUGUGGUCCUUGCUCCUUCAAUUGUUGUUGCCUUUUGGUUAUGGAUUUCCCACUGAUACAGUGUGCUUAGGCACACACCCUCAGAGUCCUCUGUGGGUGGAGAUGAUAAAGAUGCUAAAAGGCCAAAUACAUACCACCAAAGCAGGGCUGGGCAGGGGAGACAAACAAGUCACAGCUGUGCUGCCUCACAAUUAUCCAAACAGCCUUGUCCAGAUCAGUGGUUUCCAAACAUGUCUACACAUGGGAAUGACCUGCGGAGUCAAAAUACUAUUGAUGCCUACGGCCCAUCCUCAGAAGUGGUGAUUUAAUUGGUCUGGAACCUGGCCUGUGAAUUAGAAUUUUAUAGACCAUCAUUAGACUCUGCCUACAGAAAAGUUUGAGAACAAGUGAUCUAUAUAUUAUUCUAUUACAUUUUUGACAAAUUAGGUUCAUCUGAAGUUUAGCAUGUCUCUUUUAAUACUCUCAUACCAUUUGGAAAAAUGUAAGGAGCAACUAUUUGUUCUGUGAAGGUAAACAAAGAUACAAAAGCGAGAACACAAAUUAUGUGCUAUUGUCACAAGAACAUAAGGUGGGAAGAACAAAGGCAGAAAGGAUUUAGCUUCAUAAAGUUUUUUCAUGACAAGAAUUACCCCUCGGUGGUUUCUCAAAGCCAAACCAUCCUGAAACUGGACAGAAGAAUUGGGGACCAAGACCUACAAUAUCCUGGGAUUAAGUGAUGACCCAGCUUCCACCUCAUCAGAUAGAGCCCAGGCUGCAGCUGGAAGGAAGGCCAAGCGAUCCUAUCCUCUACAUGAACAAACCUGUGUGAGAUACUGAGUUCAUUAAUGUUCUCGUUGGCAGACAUCUAAGUGACUUCGAGGCAGCCAAGUGGAAUUGCAGGUUUGAUUUACUGGAGAGAUACAAGUCAAGUUAUGCAGACAAAAGCAUCUUUUUUUUUUCCCUUAAUAUCAGCCUCAGGCUCUAUGUCCAGACCUUGUAAUUGUUUUUUUUUUGUUGUUGUUGUUAUUGUUUUCUUUUUCUUUUUGCCACAGUGAGGUUCAGUUGUGUUUUUCUGCCACUGCUCCUCCUCUUGUGGGGACACAGCUAUCCAGACUAAAGGAGAAAGAACAACAGCUUGAAAAGUUCAAAGCAUCAAAUUAAGUAAUGGGAAUACUGAGUGUCUUCACCACAAAAUAAAGAAUGAAAAGCCCCCACACAACAGCCUAACAUCUUCUUUGUUAUGCAAGUUCGAAGAAAACAGGCCAAGCACUUUGAAGACACACAAAAAAUAUGAUUUUAGUAAAGAGAAGAUAGUUAACAGCAAGGCUGAUGGGCAAGUUCAUGCACUGCCAUCAGGCUGGUGAAAACAGUCAAUCUGUGCUUCUCAUGUUUCAGAAAAAAACCUAGUGUACUGGAUGGCCAUGAACACUGAUGCUAACAACCACAGUGUCAGCCCUCCCCCAAGACUCUCAGUACCAAAGCAUUCACUCAUGUUUGUUCUGCUUACAGAUUGUUGCUAAGAUGGCACCUGUAUCUGUUAUUUUUCUAUUGCUGUAAUAAAACACCACAGUCAUUUAA